GAUCAGUGGCUACAGAGACGACGCUGGCGGCAGGCCUAAUACAUGCAAGUCGAGCGGUCCCUUCGGGGGCAGCGGCGGACGGGUGAGUAACGCGUGGGAACGUGCCCUUUGGUACGGAACAACUGAGGGAAACUUCAGCUAAUACCGUAUGUGCCCUUCGGGGGAAAGAUUUAUCGCCAUUGGAGCGGCCCGCGUUGGAUUAGGUAGUUGGUGAGGUAAAGGCUCACCAAGCCUACGAUCCAUAGCUGGUCUGAGAGGAUGAUCAGCCACACUGGGACUGAGACACGGCCCAGACUCCUACGGGAGGCAGCAGUAGGGAAUCUUGCGCAAUGGGCGAAAGCCUGACGCAGCCAUGCCGCGUGAAUGAUGAAGGUCUUAGGAUUGUAAAAUUCUUCACCGGGACGAUAAUGACGGUAACAGGAGAAUAAGCCCCGGCUAACUUCGUG
rnacentral:rRNA from 1 species